AAUGAGUUGUAGUAGGUAGAUAGAUGAAGAAAUUUUUUUCAGAUUGAGUAUUUUAUGUCCUUUCUCCACUGUUACUGCUGUGGUUUAGCUUGUCCGUAAAUUUAACACCCUCAGUGGUAGUGAGUUGAAGAACAACCAUUGGAUGUGCUGAAUGAGUCAUUUCCUCCUCCCAGAUGCUCUCUCCACCUGAAGGGCUCUGUAACAUCUCUGUCGCUAUUUUAUUUCCAGGUAUAAUCUGCACAGGCAGCAUGUUGCUGCUUCCAGUCCUUCUUGAAACUUUAUUUUGGUCCCGUGGAGACAUGCAGUCAGCGCCAGUGCAAACCCCAGAGGUGCACCAUCAGAUGAAGGGCAGAUCUGCCAGCAUGUCAUGCCGACUGAUGAACGAAGACAUUGUGCACUGGUACAAGCAGCUUCCUGGAGAGCCACCGAAGAGGAUACUGUACCUGUCAGGACACACAUCUGCUUUUGAUGACGGCAAUGAUAGAAAUAGAUUUGAAGUUCGAAAGGAUGCUACUCAGCCCUUAUAUGGUCUCACAAUAAAAUCUUUAACCCCAAGGGAUUCUGGCACUUACUACUGUGCAUAUUGGCACUACACCACAGCAUUAGUCGAUCAAAGAUAAGCCAUACAAAAAGAUACUUUGUGCUUUGAACCACAAGCUCUGAACUCUGCAGCAGGAGAGGAGAAACAGCAUCUUAUGACAACUAUUAAAUAUAUAAUGUUAACAAUCA